GACAGAGGACAAUUAUCCCAGCCCGUUACAGUUCAAUAAGUCCAUCAAGGCGCAAGCCUGAGACCGCGUUUCCCUGGCAACGCCUCUCAGGUAAAUCACAGAUGGGGUAUGAUGAGAGAAGGGGAGUGAACGUGAGACAAGGGGAGGCAGGCAGCAGGGCCCGCAGGACCGAGGCGGAAUGCGCCCUCAACAAAUCUGCUUUGAGAGCAUCUGGGUUGAGACAAGUAGCUCACAACGUGCAGGGUCUUCUCCACUUCGUCAUGGUUCCUUGCCUGUCAAUCACAUCUUCAUCGUGAGAGUCCUCAAAUCUUAGCGCAUCUCUCGAUUGUCCUUUUGGGUUGACAACCUCGCUUUAAACAUCACUUACUGUGAUCUAAGAACGCUAAUUAAGUUGAUCACUUGUCCCAUCCAUCCCCGCACCCCCGAAGAAAACUUUGCCCUGGAAUGCACGAGCCAACACAAUUACUGGUGGCACGAUGAUUCGUAAUCUUUAGCGGAUUGCAAACAACGCGGAACGCAGAAAGAAAUGCGUGUCCGCAUAUUGUCGUACAGGUGCGCGUGAGCGCCGUCAUCAUCAGCGUGCGUGUGUUCAGGUGACUGUCUGGCCUCCUGCCGCAGUGUCUGGAAAUUCAGACACUCCCCCCCGCCCCCCAAAAAAAAACCCCCUCCGCCCCCUCUUCUUCUUCGAUGCUGCGCUGCUACUCAGCAUACCUGACGUCCCGCUUCUUUUCUUUCUCCUCGUUUUUUCCUCCCAUCCUGCUGUGAUAAGAGAUCCACUAAAUACAAGCAAAUUCACCAAACAACAAGAUAUGAAAAUCGAUGC